rnacentral:rRNA from 1 species
AGUGAACGCUGGCGGCGUGCUUAACACAUGCAAGUCGAACGAGAACGGUCCUUCGGGAUGUCAGCUAAGUGGCGCACGGGUGAGUAAAGUAUAGUUAAUCUGCCCCCUAGAGAGGGAUAACAACUAGAAAUGGUUGCUAAUACCUCAUACUCCUUUAUUAUUAAUUUAGUAAAGGGAAACGAAUUUCGCUAGGGGAUGGGACUAUAUCAUAUCAGCUUGUUGGUGAGGUAAUGGCUCACCAAGGCAAUGACGGGUAGCUGGUCUUAGAGGAUGAUCAGCCACACUGGUACGGAGACACGGACCAGACUCCUACGGGAGGCAGCAGUGGGGAAUAUUGGGCAAUGGACGAAAGUCUGACCCAGCAACGCCGCGUGGAGGAUGAAGCAUUUCGGUGUGUAAACUCCUUUUAACUAAGAAGAUAAUGACGGUAUUAGUUGAAUAAGCACCGGCUAACUCCGUGCCAGCCGCCGCGGUAA